UACGGGGGGAGCAAGCGUUGUUCGGAUUUACUGGGCGUAAAGGGCGCGUAGGCGGUCACUCCAAGUCGGUUGUGAAAUCCCUCAGCUCAACUGAGGAACCGCAUCCGAUACUGUUUGCCUUGAGGACGAGAGGGGAGAGUGGAACUUCUGGUGAAGCGGUGAAAUGCGUAGAUAUCAGAAGGAACGCCGGUGGCGAAAGCGACUCUCUGGCUCGUAUCUGACGCUGAGGCGCGAAAGCUUGGGUAGCAAACGGG
rnacentral:rRNA from 1 species